AAAGCAUUUGCCAAGGACGUUUUCAUUAAUCAAGAACGAAAGUUAGGGGAUCGAAGAUGAUCAGAUACCGUCGUAGUCUUAACCAUAAACUAUGCCGACUAGGGAUCGGGUGGUGUUCUUUUUUGACCCACUCGGCACCUUACGAGAAAUCAAAGUUUUUGGGUUCUGGGGGGAGUAUGGUCGCAAGGCUGAAACUUAAAGGAAUUGACGGAAGGGCACCACCAGGAGUGGAGCCUGCGGCUUAAUUUGACUCAACACGGGGAAACUCACCAGGUCCAGACACAAUAAGGAUUGACAGAUUGAUAGCUCUUUCUUGAUUUUGUGGGUGGUGGUGCAUGGCCGUUCUUAGUUGGUGGAGUGAUUUGUCUGCUUAAUUGCGAUAACGAACGAGACCUUAACCUACUAAAUAGUACUAUUAGCGUUUGCUGAUUUGGGACUUCUUAGAGGGACUAUCGGUUUCAAGCCGAUGGAAGUUUGAGGCAAUAACAGAUCUGUGAUGCCCUUAGACGUUCUGGGCCGCACGCGCGCUACACUGGACGGAGCCAACGAGUAUAUCCUUUGCCGANAGGUACCGGUAACCUUGUGAAACUCCGUCGUGCUGGGGAUAGAGCAUUGCAAUUAUUGCUCCUUCAACGAGGAAUUCCUAG
rnacentral:rRNA from 1 species